GCGGGGGUACUCAAGCCUGGUCAACGAGGCGGGACUUAAGAUCCCGUCCCUCAGGGGUUCGUGGGUUCGAAUCCCACCCCCCGCA
rnacentral:tRNA from 1 species